UGCCUACGGGAGGCUGCAGUGGGGAAUUUUGGACAAUGGGCGCAAGCCUGAUCCAGCAAUGCCGCGUGCAGGAAGAAGGCCUUCGGGUUGUAAACUGCUUUUGUACGGAACGAAACGGUCUGGGUUAAUACCCUGGGCUAAUGACGGUACCGUAAGAAUAAGCACCGGCUAACUACGUGCCAGCAGCCGCGGUAAUACGUAGGGUGCAAGCGUUAAUCGGAAUUACUGGGCGUAAAGCGUGCGCAGGCGGUUUUGUAAGACAGGCGUGAAAUCCCCGGGCUCAACCUGGGAAUUGCGCUUGUGACUGCAAGGCUGGAGUGCGGCAGAGGGGGAUGGAAUUCCGCGUGUAGCAGUGAAAUGCGUAGAUAUGCGGAGGAACACCGAUGGCGAAGGCAAUCCCCUGGGCCUGCACUGACGCUCAUGCACGAAAGCGUGGGGAGCAAACAGGAUUAGAUACCC
rnacentral:rRNA from 1 species